rnacentral:rRNA from 1 species
UACGAAGGGGGCUAGCGUUGUUCGGAAUUACUGGGCGUAAAGCGCACGUAGGCGGAUACUUAAGUCAGGGGUGAAAUCCCGAGGCUCAACCUCGGAACUGCCUUUGAUACUGGAGAUCUUGAGUUCGGAAGAGGUUGGUGGAACAGCUAGUGUAGAGGUGAAAUUCGUAGAUAUUAGCUAGAACACCAGUGGCGAAGGCGGCCAACUGGUCCGAUACUGACGCUGAGGUGCGAAAGCGUGGGGAGCAAACAGG